rnacentral:rRNA from 1 species
AGUGAACGCUGGCGGUAGGCCUAACACAUGCAAGUCGAACGGCAGCACAGUAAGAGCUUGCUCUUACGGGUGGCGAGUGGCGGACGGGUGAGGAAUACAUCGGAAUCUACUUUUUCGUGGGGGAUAACGUAGGGAAACUUACGCUAAUACCGCAUACGACCUACGGGUGAAAGCAGGGGAUCUUCGGACCUUGCGCGAUUGAAUGAGCCGAUGUCGGAUUAGCUAGUUGGCGGGGUAAAGGCCCACCAAGGCGACGAUCCGUAGCUGGUCUGAGAGGAUGAUCAGCCACACUGGAACUGAGACACGGCCCAGACUCCUGCGGGAGGCAGCAGUGGGGAAUAUUGGACAAUGGGCGCAAGCCUGAUCCAGCCAUACCGCGUGGGUGAAGAAGGCCUUCGGGUUGUAAAGCCCUUUUGUUGGGAAAGAAAAGCAGCAGGUUAAUACCCCGCUGUUCUGACGGUACCCAAAGAAUAAGCACCGGCUAACUUCGUG